rnacentral:lncRNA from 1 species
GAGGCUUUUAUCCUCAAGUCUUCAACAGCGAAGAAUGUCGGGCCGGACAGAGGGUCAGCUGGGUACCAGCGAUUGAAGUUCUCAGUUACUGCCCACAGAAAUCUGAACUUGGAACACAAGCACCCUUCCUUCUGCACGGACCUUUUUUUUUGGUAUAAUGAAACCAUUUUUGGAAGAGUGCCUGCCUGUUAUGAAAAAGCAGGCAAGCUGGUUUGGAUAUCUUUGUUUGUGUAAACAUUUUGGUGUUAUUUGUGAAAAUGAUCAGAUGCUGGUGGGGCGGGCAGGCUGACCACGACUCCGCCUGCCACAGCUGCACAGAGGGUUUUUUUUUUUUUUUUUUUUUUUUUUGAAACAUACGUGGGAGAUGGGGAAGAAAUCCACAGUAAAGACUUGGUACAAAAAGCCAUGCAGGCUGCCACUGUGCCCAGCUUUCCUUCCCAUUGUGCCCUGGCUUUCUUGCUGGCUCUCUCCCAAACAGGGAUCUCCUGCUUCAGCUGGACCCGCGGAUCACCUGGGAAAUUCUUUCAAAAGAGUGACGCUCCAGGCUAAUUGAAUCCAGAUCUCUGGUGGGCGAGGAUGAUGGGUUUUGUAGGGGAAGUGGGCGGUGUGGGCCGAAAACCCCGAAGUGCCCCCAUCUUUAGAUUUCGUGAUCUGGAUGGAGAGAGACUUCUUCCUCGAGUUUUGGGUAGAAGGUUUCUGGGGGUGUUGGAGCUGGGCCGCAUCCCCUUGGACAAAAGGGAGAGUGGACUUCCAGCCUGAGCCAGGCUUGGCGGGCAUCGCUUCUCUGGGGGCGUUUACUGUUUCCUUGUCUUCCUUCUCCUGGUCACUUCUCAGGUCUCUGGACCUUUACAGGGUGUGCCUGCCCUCAGCAGCCUUUUUUUUUUUUUUUUAAAAAAAACAAAACAGACAGAACCCAGGCCAGGGAUUGAACUUGUGCUGUAGCAUCGACCCAAGCCUCUGCCGUGACAACACCAGAUCCUCAACCCGCUGUACCAUAGAAGAAUUCCCGUACUUUGUUUCUUUUUAUGACUUCAUAAUAUUCCUUCGUGUGGGUGUACCACAUUCAGUGCAUCCAUUCAUCACCUGACGAGCAUCUGAACUGUUUGCAGUUUCUGGCUGUUAGGAAUCAUGCUGCUCUGAGAAUCUGUGUACAUGUCUUAGAGUGGAUUAUCUUUCCAUUGCACUGUUUUUUUACAGCAUGUCCUAAGCAGUAUCGCCUCAGCCAUUAGGGAAGUGUCUUAAAAUGUUUGGCAUCAGAGAUAAGUCAUUAUUCCAAAGUGGACAGCUCUGGGUCAGGGGCCAGGAGACCUGGGGGACCCUGUGCGCCUGCUGGUUGUCCUCGGACUGUGAGUGGCUCAGCUCUUGAGAAGAAGGAAAGCACUCACAGCUCCUCUCCUAGGCCUCCUGCUUCUAGAGAUCACGCACUUUGCGAGAGAGGUGGUGCCAUGUCCCUGGAUCCCUACAAGACAUCAGUAUUGUUUGUGUGAUGAAUGAGUCCACGCCGUGGCUAUUGAAUGUAUUUGCACCUUCUAACAGUGUCGUCUUGCCUGUGUCGCUGACUGGUUUUGAGAUUUAUGAGGCCUCACUCAGAAGCAAUGUGUGUCUGGAUUAAGGGAACCUGAGAAUCACUAUUUAUGUCUGACCCGAGGAAGUUCCCUUUAAGCUGCUUAUCAGAGGUGCAUGCUGAGAGCAUGAUGGGAAGAUGGAGUCUUCCAUCCGCUGGCAAAAUCUGGAAUCUGCUCUCACUCCAUUUUAACUGGAGUGACAAUAAGCUAACAGACCCAUAGGUCUACCCGGAAGUAUCUGCUGACAGCUUCACUUUUGUAAAUUGAGUUGAAAAACUACCUGUGCUCUAAUUCUGAUUUUUCCCGAUACUCCAAGUCUUCAGUGUGGAUUAAAACAUCAUCCCUUUUUGUAAAAAUCAAAACAAAGCAACUUUGAUCUAGGUGAUUUAGGAGAAACUAAAUAUGCCUCUAAUUUCACUACCAGUAUAGUGAAUAUUUAUUUUCCACUUAAAGGGCUAUCAGUGCUCCACGAUUUUUGCAUUUGCAAUUUGAAAGCUACCAGAAAAUUUCCACAUUAUUAAAAAAUUAAGUUUCUCUCGAAAAUAUUCCCUGUGCAGACGCUAACACAUGUGUAUGCACUAUUUCACCACCAGGGGGCAUUGUGGUUUGACUGUCCAUUUAAACAGCCCACAUUCUAUCAGUUUACCCAGGAAAUAGAAGGCCUGGGCAUAUUUCUGAUUCCUUCCAAGAAGGAGCCAUAUCUGGGAGAGAACAGAUGUCGAUUCUUUUUCCUUACUAGCAAACGGUAGUGUUGUCAAAUUUGCUAAACUUAGCCAGUCGAAGAUUAACAUGCAGUAUAUAAUAUGCAUGUGCCUAACUGUACAAUAAGUAGUAAAUCACAUUUUUAUGCUUUCUCUGAACUUGGAAGCUGCAAGUUAUUUUUUUUUUUAUUCCCUGGGUGUGAUGAAAUAAAUAACAUUCAAAUACAUUUUAAAGAUGUCAGUCAGCGGGGGGAAAAAAAGUGCUUGGCAACUGUGUUUGAUAGAUUUCUUUUAUGAUUAAUUCUCCUAUUAAGUUUUAAUGACUUUAAAGAUAUAAAGCUAGAAACCACAAAACUAGGCAUGGUUAAUAAAUAACUGAAAUUCCAGGUGUAUAGAAAUGCAUGUGUGGAAAAAUGAAAUCGUAUAUUCUCUAGGAUGUAUGAGGAAACGGCUCUCUGGAGAGUCUAGAGAGUCAAAUAUCCCCAAAAGGGAGGGGACAAGUUUAAAAACAGGGAACUCAAGGAGAUUGUCUUCCUUUAGGAAAAUCCUAGGAAAAACGUACUCUCUAAGAUUAACCAAUGUAAAGUAAAUUAUCUUACGAGCCAGUAAUUUUCAGCAAGAUGGUGGUUCUCUUGGAUGGAAUGCAUUUCUCCAUUUUGGCUUUUUAAAGUGUCUCUGUCCACAAUUUCAAGUAUUUCUCCCAGUUCCUCUUCACACUUUUCUCCCCAGGCUCAUCUGGCCUGGAAGAUGUGUGCUGAUUCAUUGUUUUGUAAAUGUUCAAAAGCCUGCCUGGUCCCAGGAGUGGGGAUCGGAGUGGCAGUAUUUCAGCAAUGCUCUCUCUCUCUCUCUUCUUCCUCCUGCACCCAGAAUGUAUGAACCAGGACUCAGCUCCUGCACAGAACAUCUCUGGGAGUCGGGGAGAAUUGAAGAAUCAAUUCUAGUUUCCACGUGGCAGGAGUGAGGCUUGCCUGGGGCUGGCGGGGUCCCCCACUCCCUGAAACACCCCCUCCACGUCCGAGCCUGUGUGUUCACGCUGGGGGCCUCUGCAGCAAGCACAGCUGGAUUUUUUACUUUCUAGACCAUCUCAAUUCGAGGUCUUAAACUGAACAGUUUAGAAACCAAACAGACAUGAAUCAACAUGAAGAAUAACUGGGAAGAGUUACGGGGCCCCCAGAAGAAUGUAUAAAUGUGUGUGUUUUUGUAUCUGGUUAUGUGUAUGUUUUCAUGCCUCAAAAGAGACACAUGGUAUAUUUCAAUCCAUUCCCGCCACGAAGGACUUUUAUUCUUGAGUGUUUCCGAGUCCCCAAAGCACAAUAGAUGCCAUUUGGAACCUUCACACGAGGCAGCCCCCACACUUCAGAACUUCAAGUCGAAAGAUCUUUUAAGUCCACAAAACUUAUUUUUCAAAGAUCUUGGCCCAUUCCAAAUGAAUACUGAUUCCCAGCCUCUCAAAUGCCUGGAGUGAGAAAACAGGGAAUAUUGUUCUUUUCUGUUUAUAUUAUUUCAUACUGAGUUAAUACACUUGCCAAGAGUCCAGGCAGCUUCUGGCCUGACAAUGCCUUAUUUAACCAGCCUAGUUUUGAGAAUAAAGUCAGGGUCCUCCCCCCCCCCCCCCCCCCAGGGCCCUCCCAGCAGUACUCAGGUCACUUCUGAGUUGGAAGAAACCAAAGCAAAUAAAGCGAAUCUGUUUCUCUAUGAAAAUCAUCUUUUUUUUUUUUUUUUUUUUUCCUGGGCUAGGACCCAGAUUUGGCCCUGGCAAGCAGGACAGCCUGGCCCCACACCGGAACCUCAGUUCCUCCUGGGUUUCAGAGAACUGGAAUCCCCAGGCCCAGCCUCUCCCGGCCAAGGAGCCUCACCAGAAACUGAGGCUUCCGGCUCGCUCCCAGCCUGGAGACUGCAGGCCAGUCUGGCUGGCAGAUGCUCCUCCAGCCCUGGCCGCAUCUCGGUGCUGUCCUGGUACACGGAACGCCUUAGCUUGAGGCUGGAAGAAACUCCACGCGUUUGGCCCAAAAGAGGCAACUCCUUCCAGCUGGCCCGGGCGCUGGGCCUUAACAGUGACCCAGAUGAACUGAUUUUGUACAGAGUGGGUGGAGAGGACCCUGGGGACCGGGGGUUGGGGGGGAGGAGGGAAAAGCCGGCGCUUGGCUCCGUGCACAGCGUUUCCUUGGCCGAGCUCCAGGGGAGAGACGGGAUCCAGGGCGAAGGGCCCUUGCAGACCCCCUACCCCCACCCCGCAUGCCCGGGCCUUCCUGCUGGACAUCGGAUCGGCCCUGUGCCCCGAAGACAGUCCCCUCGCCAAGCAGGGGCUGCCCAGGAAGGGAGGCCAUGGGCUUCACGUGUGGAGGGAGUGGCUCCUGUGGACAUGAGAAGACGACACCAAAGGCUGGGACAUUCCUCCAAAUAGAACUCGGGGCCCCCGCCCGCCCCGGAGACGUAAAGGCCGCGCUGCCUGCGCCCCCACAUGCGCACUCUCUACGGCGCGCCCGCCUCCGAAGCCAGGGCGCCCAGGGCCUUGGCCCCGCUCUCAGAUGAGGAGUGGCGCUCGUGUGAGCCUGGCACUGUCUUCUCACCCAAGAGAAGGAGAAAGGCAAAAGGAAAGAGCCUGAGCCGCCUCCUUUUAGAUGCCCGCCACCCCCAGAUGGCAGAGCCGGAAUGCUCCAGGUACACCGCCUGCCCAGUGGUGAUGCACAGGCUGGAGGCCGCCUUCCCCUCUCGCGCACCUGCCUGAUGUCUGGCUGCCGGGCUGCUGCGCUGCCGGGCGGGGGCGGCGUCGAUGUUCUGCGAGGAACGUGUCUUACCCAGGCCUGCCUCAUGCCAAGCCCCACUUGCUUCAGGCCAGUCCCUUCUAAUCUGCGCUGUUGUUGUAAACACUGGAGAAGCGGGAUCUUUCUAGCAAGGGCAGUGUUAUCUGGAAUAAAAUGUUAGCCCUGAGAGUGCUCUCGUGUUCCGCCAACAGCGAGCCGGAGAGCAGAGGAGGGAGAGUCAGAACGUGGGGUAUGUGGCAGAGACGGUGCAAGCCAUCUCUGUGUGUCGACCCCGUCUUUAAAGGCAAGAUUAACAGCGAUACAUAAAUAUAAAUGUUUCUUUCUGGCCAAGCACCGCAGAUUAGAUUUCACAUUCGAAAUGUAAAUCGUGCCUAGGAAACAUCGAUGUUUAUUUUCAGCAACUGACCCUCGGGG